rnacentral:rRNA from 1 species
GCCCUAGCGGCGAACGGGUGAGUAACACGUGGGCAACCUGCCCUCAGCUCUGGGAUAACUCCAAGAAAUUGGUGCUAAUACCGGAUGUGACCGCUGACCGCAUGGUCUGGUGGUGGAAAGAUUCAUCGGCUGAGGAUGGGCCCGCGGCCUAUCAGCUUGUUGGUGGGGUGAUGGCCUACCAAGGCGACGACGGGUAGCCGGCCUGAGAGGGUGACCGGCCACACUGGGACUGAGACACGGCCCAGACUCCUACGGGAGGCAGCAGUGGGGAAUAUUGCGCAAUGGGCGAAAGCCUGACGCAGCGACGCCGCGUGAGGGAUGACGGCCUUCGGGUUGUAAACCUCUUUCAGUAGGGACGAAGCGCAAGUGACGGUACCUACAGAAGAAGCACCGGCCAACUACGUGCCAGCAGCCGCGGUAAUACGUAGGGUGCAAGCGUUGUCCGGAAUUAUUGGGCGUAAAGAGCUCGUAGGCGGUCUGUCACGUCGGCUGUGAAAACCCGAGGCUCAACCUCGGGCCUGCAGUCGAUACGGGCAAACUAGAGUACUGCAGGGGAGACUGGAAUUCCUGGUGUAGCGGUGAAAUGCGCAGAUAUCAGGAGGAACACCGGUGGCGAAGGCGGGUCUCUGGGCAGUAACUG